UACGUAGGGUGCGAGCGUUAAUCGGAAUUACUGGGCGUAAGGCGUGCGCAGGCGGUUGAUUAAGUCUGAUGUGAAAGCCCCGGGCUCAACCUGGGAAUGGCAUUGGAAACUGGUCAGCUGGAGUGUGGCAGAGGGGGGUGGAAUUCCGCGUGUAGCAGUGAAAUGCGUAGAGAUGCGGAGGAACACCGAUGGCGAAGGCAGCCCCCUGGGCCAACACUGACGCUCAGGCACGAAAGCGUGGGGAGCAAACAGG
rnacentral:rRNA from 1 species